AGAGUUUGAUCCUGGCUCAGGACGAACGCUGGCGGCGUGCUUAACACAUGCAAGUCGAACGAUGAAGCGGUGCUUGCACCGUGGAUUAGUGGCGAACGGGUGAGUAAUACGUGAGUGACCUACCUUUGACUCUGGGAUAAGCCUGGGAAACUGGGUCUAAUACCGGAUACGACCAAUCUCUGCAUGGGGUGUUGGUGGAAAGCGUUAUGGAGUGGUUUUAGAUGGGCUCACGGCCUAUCAGCUUGUUGGUGAGGUAAUGGCUUACCAAGGCGACGACGGGUAGCCGGCCUGAGAGGGUGACCGGCCACACUGGGACUGAGACACGGCCCAGACUCCUACGGGAGGCAGCAGUGGGGAAUAUUGCACAAUGGGCGCAAGCCUGAUGCAGCGACGCCGCGUGAGGGAUGACGGCCUUCGGGUUGUAAACCUCUGUUAGCAUCGAAGAAGCGAAAGUGACGGUAGGUGCAGAGAAAGCGCCGGCUAACUACGUGCCAGCAGCCGCGGUAAUACGUAGGGCGCGAGCGUUGUCCGGAAUUAUUGGGCGUAAAGAGCUUGUAGGCGGUUGGUCGCGUCUGCUGUGAAAGGCCGGGGCUUAACUCCGGUUUUGCAGUGGGUACGGGCUAACUAGAGUGCAGUAGGGGAGACUGGAAUUCCUGGUGUAGCGGUGGAAUGCGCAGAUAUCAGGAGGAACACCGAUGGCGAAGGCAGGUCUCUGGGCAGUAACUGACGCUGAGGAGCGAAAGCAUGGGGAGCGAACAGGAUUAGAUACCCUGGUAGUCCAUGCCGUAAACGUUGGGCACUAGGUGUGGGGGACAUUCCACGUUUUCCGCGCCGUAGCUAACGCAUUAAGUGCCCCGCCUGGGGAGUACGGCCGCAAGG
rnacentral:rRNA from 1 species